rnacentral:rRNA from 1 species
GUGCCAGCAGCCGCGGUAAUACGUAGGUGGCAAGCGUUGUCCGGAAUUAUUGGGCGUAAAGCGCGCGCAGGCGGUCCUUUAAGUCUGAUGUGAAAGCCCACGGCUCAACCGUGGAGGGUCAUUGGAAACUGGGGGGACUUGAGUGCAGAAGAGGAAAGCGGAAUUCCACGUGUAGCGGUGAAAUGCGUAGAGAUGUGGAGGAACACCAGUGGCGAAAGGCGGCUUUCUGGUCUGUAACUGACGCUGAGGCGCGAAAGCGUGGGGAGCAAACAGGAUUAGAUACCCUGGUAGUCC